GAUGAACGCUGGCGGCGUGCCUAAUACAUGCAAGUCGAGCGAACAGACGAGGAGCUUGCUCCUCUGACGUUAGCGGCGGACGGGUGAGUAACACGUGGAUAACCUACCUAUAAGACUGGGAUAACUUCGGGAAACCGGAGCUAAUACCGGAUAAUAUAUUGAACCGCAUGGUUCAAUAGUGAAAGACGGUUUUGCUGUCACUUAUAGAUGGAUCCGCGCCGCAUUAGCUAGUUGGUAAGGUAACGGCUUACCAAGGCAACGAUGCGUAGCCGACCUGAGAGGGGGAUCGGCCACACGGGAACUGGGACACGGUCCAGACUCCUACGGGAGGCAGCAGUAGGGAAUCUUCCGCAAUGGGCGAAAGCCUGACGGAGCAACGCCGCGUGAGUGAUGAAGGUCUUCGGAUCGUAAAACUCUGUUAUUAGGGAAGAACAAAUGUGUAAGUAACUAUGCACGUCUUGACGGUACCUAAUCAGAAAGCCACGGCUAACUACGUG
rnacentral:rRNA from 1 species